UACGAAGGGGGCUAGCGUUGUUCGGAAUCACUGGGCGUAAAGGGCGCGUAGGCGGCCGAUCAAGUCGGGGGUGAAAGCCUGUGGCUCAACCACAGAAUUGCCUUCGAUACUGUUUGGCUUGAGACCGGAAGAGGUUAGUGGAACUGCGAGUGUAGAGGUGAAAUUCGUAGAUAUUCGCAAGAACACCAGUGGCGAAGGCGGCUGACUGGACUGGUAUUGACGCUGAGGUGCGAAAGCGUGGGGAGCAAACAGG
rnacentral:rRNA from 1 species